AACGAACGCUGGCGGCAUGCCUAACACAUGCAAGUCGAACGAGACCUUCGGGUCUAGUGGCGCACGGGUGCGUAACGCGUGGGAAUCUGCCCUUUGCUUCGGAAUAACAGUUAGAAAUGACUGCUAAUACCGGAUGAUGUCUUCGGACCAAAGAUUUAUCGGCAAAGGAUGAGCCCGCGUAGGAUUAGGUAGUUGGUGGGGUAAAGGCUCACCAAGGCGACGAUCCGUAGCUGGUCUGAGAGGAUGAUCAGCCACACUGGGACUGAGACACGGCCCAGACUCCUACGGGAGGCAGCAGUGGGGAAUAUUGGACAAUGGGCGAAAGCCUGAUCCAGCAAUGCCGCGUGAGUGAUGAAGGCCUUAGGGUUGUAAAGCUCUUUACCCGGGAUGAUAAUGACAGUACCGGGAGAAUAAGCCCCGGCUAACUCCGUGCCAGCAGCCGCGGUAAU
rnacentral:rRNA from 1 species